UACGGAGGGAGCUAGCGUUGUUCGGAAUUACUGGGCGUAAAGCGCACGUAGGCGGCUCAGCAAGUCAGGGGGGAAAUCCCGGGGCUCAACCCCGGAACUGCCCUUGAAACUGCUAAGCUAGAAUCUUGGAGAGGCGAGUGGAAUUCCGAGUGUAGAGGUGAAAUUCGUAGAUAUUCGGAAGAACACCAGUGGCGAAGGCGACUCGCUGGACAAGUAUUGACGCUGAGGUGCGAAAGCGUGGGGAGCAAACAGG
rnacentral:rRNA from 1 species